rnacentral:tRNA from 1 species
GGGAAUUUAGCUCAGUGGUUCUGCACGUGCCUUGUAAGCACAAGGACCUGAGUUCGAUCCCCAGUACCCCCC